ensembl:snRNA U6 U6 spliceosomal RNA
AUGCUCGCUUUGGCAGCACAUAUGCUAAAAUUGGAACAAUAUAGAAAAAAUUAGCAUGGCACCUGUGCAAAGAU